UGAGUGUGGGUACAUGGUUCUGGAGUUAUCUGAAUGUGUAUUGCUGAUGGAGUUCGUUAAAAUGAUAGUGCCAGGCAAGGAAGUACUUGUGAUCUACAAUGUAAACACCUAGGAGAAGCGAAAAAAGAAUGUUACUGUCUUGUGUCUCCUCAUUUGGGAGAGUGAGCAAAAGAGCUUGUCAGCAGAGACAGGGACUUCUUGGCUGGUGCUAAUUUUGGGUGACAGUGGUAGAUAAAGAAACAUCGUCAACGGUGAUGACUGGACUCUCCUCCACAUGUGUCUCAUCCUCCAAUAGGCAGCCUGGGUGUGGUCUUAUGGGAGAGGUAUAGGCACAACCACUUUUUAAGCCUCGUCUUGGGUCCUGCUUGCUAAAAUCUCAUUGACCAAAGCAAGUCACUUGGUGGAGUCAACUUGAAAGAGGAGGAGCAUUACAGUCACACGGGCAAGGACACAGGCACAGGGACAGAGGACGAAUUGGGGCCACCACUGCAAUCUACCACAAUGGUUCAGCAUGGGGGUUAAGAUUACAGGAUAUAGAAACAGUUGGACCUGGACUUUGGUGCUCUUGCUGCUGGGAUUUUCAUACUUCCCCCCAUUUCUCCCCUAGGUGCCUACACCAAAGCCUUUUCCCAAAACGCUUUGCUCUCAGCUAGCUGCCGCAGUCAAAGAUUUUCUUCAAUGUUGCCUCCCAACUGCCAAUAUCCUCUCUCUCUUUCAAGGAUGUUUGCAUUAAAAGAGUCUUACUGCUUUUUCUGAUUACAA